AGUGAACGCUGGCGGUAGGCCUAACACAUGCAAGUCGAACGGCAGCACAGGAGAGCUUGCUCUCUAGGUGGCGAGUGGCGGACGGGUGAGGAAUACAUCGGAAUCUGCCCAGUCGUGGGGGAUAACGUAGGGAAACUUACGCUAAUACCGCAUACGACCUUCGGGUGAAAGAGGGGGAUCGCAAGACCUCUCGCGAUUGGAUGAGCCGAUGUCGGAUUAGCUAGUUAGCGGGGUAAUGGCCCACCAAGGCGACGAUCCGUAGCUGGUCUGAGAGGAUGAUCAGCCCCACUGGAACUGAGACACGGUCCAGACUCCUACGGGAGGCAGCAGUGGGGAAUAUUGGACAAUGGGCGCAAGCCUGAUCCAGCCAUACCGCGUGGGUGAAGAAGGCCUUCGGGUUGUAAAGCCCUUUUGUUGGGAAAGAAAUCUUUCAGGCUAAUACCCUGGGAGGAUGACGGUACCCAAAGAAUAAGCACCGGCUAACUUCGUG
rnacentral:rRNA from 1 species